AGGCAGCUGCCUGUGAUAAUUCAGAGUUCACUCUGCAGCUCACGUUCCACUCGGGUAAAACACAUACCAGCCCUUUGUGCAACAGCAGCAACUUCCGUAUCUUCACAGCAAAUCCUUACUGAUACUUGCUCCAUAAAACCACAGAAGUUAGUAACAGCUGAAAAAGUUUAUGUUUCUUCCUUUUUUUUUGAAUGCAGAAUUCCCACUCUUCCAGGAAAAUGAAACCUCUUCCCUAGCUCUGCCAUGUUUUGUUGAAGGUCUGCACAUCUUCUACAGCCUCGUUUCCUGCUUUUCUUCUCUUCACGCUUGCAGGGGCCAUAGCUGAGAAACGUUGGCCCAGCUAAGACUGCCUGCACUCACAUUCUACAGUCUUGCAUGUUUGCUGGAGAAAGAAAAAAAAAAGCAAUGUACAUUAAAGCCCGAGAGACAAAUUGUCCAAUUUCAUAGAGAAAGAUAAAAGACUGAAUUGAGAAGGAGCGUUAUGAAGCUUGUACAGUGAGCAAUAGAUGCCCUUUCACAUACACCAGUUGUGGACACAGACCUGCAAGCCUUUGAAAGAAGUCCUGAUUCGCCCAUGUGGGCAACAUCGACAACCAGGAGCUGUUACCUGCAGCAAAGAUGGCAUGGGUUUGUCUUAAUUUUCUCAAAUCUCCAGAGACAGACACAUGAGAAGAGAAAGGACAGAGAUCUGGAAGGUUUACCAGUAGUUUUGGAAACAUUUGAAUCAGAAUUGUUCCUGUUAAUGAAGAUUUUUUAAAAUUAUUUUUUAUUUUUAAAAAGAUUGUGGCACCUCCAAAAAUAAUUUGGACUUUUGGAAUGAGCUAAAGCCAGGUCUUUCAUGCAUAAAGACUGUCAUGGAAAAAGAAGAGGGAUGGAGGAGACAUGGGGCAGGGUUCAUCACUUCCAGAGCACGGGGAGAAGACACGACACACCAUGCAGACGGAGAAAGCGAUGAACAGUUGUUUGUACAUCGCAAGCCCAGCGAUGGGAAACAUGAACUUGAAGCAGUGGAAGGGGGGAUGCCCUGGGAGAAUCGAAAGGCAGCAGGGGAGUGUUACGAUCAAAUUGACUGCUGGAAAAAGUGCCUUGGUGGACACAGGCUGCACCAAAAAGGAGUUCCUGGUGAGCAGGAAGGCUACCAGGAGAGAUCACGAAGACUCAGGAUCAGAACAGAUCUCAUUAAAUCAUGUUCCAGGUCAUGAACUACCAACUUUUUCUGCCGACUGGGGCCUCACUGUUUGGCAGUGAUGGAGGAGAACAAAGACAUGGACAUAUUAGUUGAUAACAGGAUUAGAUGACUGUAUGUGACUGGUAAAGGCCAUGGCAAGCCUAGGACAUAGCAGGCAAGACGGGUGCUGCAAAGUCAGGGAAAUAUUAAGGCCAGGUUACAAAAAGCACCAGCACUCUAGAAGAGUGUCAGUAGCUCUUCUCAUGCAUGUGCCAGCAGGUUGAAUUCAGACUGGAAUUGGUGUACAGAAAAGUGGUUAAGAGGAAUGAAGAUCAUGUCUUCCAAACGGAAACCAAAUAGUCUUGGUUUGUUUAAUAAGUCAAGAGCCUAAGGAGGGAAAUGAUUGCUCUUGUACUGAUGCAAUAGGAAAAUAAACACUGAUGUUUAACGAAGAGCUGUUUAAACUAACACUGGCAGAGGGCAGUUAAUAAUCUUACGUUAGCUGUAAGCAGUUUAUAACUGUAAGAGCAGGCAGCUUUCAGGAGAGCCUGCUGGAAAAAAAAGGAGAACAAGAAACCCAACUGAUCCAAAGACUGAAAAUUCAAGCAGAGGCAAUAUUGCUUUGCCAUCUCGGGUGCAAGAACAACUCUCGCGGGUAUAAACAGGGAAGAGAGUUUCUAUGUCCAAAUAUGCUGGGAAAGUUCACAAUAACGUUGCUGGACUAAUACUCCUGUGUGAUUACCUCUAAGCACACCAGAUGUUCACAGCUACAUGUAUUUACUCAGACUACUCAAACUAAGAACACUUACAGGUAUCUGGAAGCUCAAGAUCUGUGAAAGUAUAACCCUAUUGCGUGUCAAAUUUAGACAGCCAGUUUUUCAAAAUAAAUCUAAUCUAUUAAGCAUUUCCUCAACAAAUGUCCUUAAAAUACAGCUGGUAUAAGUGGGUAAUUGCUUCAGUUAAUGCUUUAUUUCGAGAGUUGUGGCUCCAUACAGAGGGUAAUUUCCAGCAAAGUCGUAACAGAGGAAAACACUCUUGGGAAAUUUAACAACGAACUUAAGGCUCUCUUAGCAUAAUAUAGUGAAUAACAAUUAGAAAGAUAUCAUUAACAUAUGAUACAUAGCUGUGAUUUUGUCCAAACUAAUUAGAGCAGUUGUUAUCAGUAAUAUUAGGAUGAACACUAAAUCAAAGAUAUUAAUAGUGCAUAUAUAUUCUGUAAUUUGUGAUUUAAAUUUUAUUUGAUACGGUGAUGAAGGCAAGUCUUUGUUAAAAACUACCGUAUCACUUCAAGUAUUGCAAAAGGAACUGUUGUAUUUACAUCAGCUCCUACAGCGGAAACUUAACUCGGUGCUACUAGUAGGUUAAAAAAACAAAAAUAGAAGAGAUGGACCAAUGUCUGCUUUUAAGAGAGAUAAGCAUCAUGUCACAUCCUCUUUCCCUCCUGCGGUACUUCUCCCUCUCAGGCACUGGAAGGGCACACGUGUGUGCGUGCACUCGAGGGGAAAGCUGGCCCGGGAGCAGCAAGCCGAGGCAAGUAGAAAGUGGGAUGGGGAGUAUUUCGUUCCCGCUAGUGAAGAGGGGGUUGGUCCCACCUUCCAUACGGCCUUAUGUAUAAAGACCCAACAGAACUGUAAAUCAUACCUAAAGAAAGUAAACACUAAAAAAAACACCAAACAAGACCUAUGCAGCUUUAUCCAGGGACACGUUUUUUAAAUUACCUGUCUUGUGUUACGCUGUUGAUCUCUGAAUAUCAUACAAGCAACUUGGCCGCAGCGAUAUGGAUACAGAACUGUAAAUAAUCACAGAUGUUUCAUCAGAAAAAGAUGUGAGUUAUUUCUAUUUAAACAAAUGCUUUGCACAGGAGGGCAAAAGGUAUGCAGUAGUAUUUCAGCAAUUUCCAAGAUGUCAAAACAUUCCUCGAGUUCCAGGUUAAAGGGUGAAAUCUUGGCCUUAAUAAGAUGCUCUUCAAAUAUUAUGGGCCAGCUAUGGAUGAACCUAACUGUAAGCAAAUCUUACUAUGGAUUGAUAGAGUAUUUUACAGGCGACUUCCUCAUGCACGCAACCGUCUUAACCAACCUACAAUGAAUUACACAUUUGGCUUUUUACACCAGUCCCGUCUCAUGGAAGGGGUUUACAUGGGAAGGUGGUGCACUCGGAGCACCGUCUGAGACCAGAACCAGGGUCUGUAGAUAAAGAGAGAACACAGCGCUUUCUGUUUGCAAUGCUGUUUAUUUUAGAAAAGCCCCUUUGAUCAUCUGAAUGAAAAAUGUGGGCAGAAAAGUCACAAAUGUUAUAAAACAAAGUUUAUUCUGCAAUAUUUUGUCAUAAUGAAUUGCAUCUCUUUGGUAAAAAUAAACUUUAUAAACGUUUUAAUUAACAGAGAUUAGCAUACAAAAAACUAAACUUCUGUAAAUCGUCUUUAAAACGGGUAAAGGACUAAACUGGAGGAAAAAGGGUUAGAGUUGGUCACCUACUGGCAAAAUUAUUCUAAACAAACCCAAGGACAUUGCUUAUGCUACAUUAGAAACAAGCUAAUGGGAACGGUUUAAAAACAACUCUGGUUCAUUUGAUCAGAAAGCAUUCUUACAAUUCACUUUUAAAUAAAUAAUAGUUACAAUGAAUUGGCAAUUAUAAAAUGUUUUAUAUCACUAUAUGGCAGUAACAUAAUACUUUUAAUUAUGCACUUUUUAGUUUGAAGAAAUGUACAUUUAUAAAACAGACUUUGAUAAUGGCACUGGCAGUUAGGUGUGAAGAAUGUGCUUUAAGAUAUAAUGGCAGGUGCAACAUUUAAAAUAUUCUACUUUUUCUUUUCAAUAAAUAUUUUGACUACACCAUUA